GAGUUUGAUCAUGGCUCAGAACGAACGCUGGCGGCAGGCCUAACACAUGCAAGUCGAACGCCCCGCAAGGGGAGUGGCAGACGGGUGAGUAACGCGUGGGAACAUACCCUUCGGUUCGGAAUAACUCAGGGAAACUUGAGCUAAUACCGGAUACGUCCGAGAGGAGAAAGAUUUAUCGCCGGAGGAUUGGCCCGCGUCCGAUUAGCUAGUUGGUGAGGUAACGGCCCACCAAGGCGACGAUCGGUAGCUGGUCUGAGAGGAUGAUCAGCCACAUUGGGACUGAGACACGGCCCAAACUCCUACGGGAGGCAGCAGUGGGGAAUAUUGGACAAUGGGCGCAAGCCUGAUCCAGCCAUGCCGCGUGAGUGAUGACGGCCUUAGGGUUGUAAAGCUCUUUCGUCAGGGACGAUAAUGACGGUACCUGAAGAAGAAGCCCCGGCUAACUUCGUGCCAGCAGCCGCGGUAAUACGAAGGGGGCUAGCGUUGUUCGGAAUCACUGGGCGUAAAGGGCGCGUAGGCGGCCCUCCUUGUCGCGUGUGAAAGCCCCGGGCUCAACCUGGGAACGGCGCGCGAGACGGGGGGGCUGGAGUUCGGGAGAGGAGAGUGGAAUUCCCAGUGUAGAGGUGAAAUUCGUAGAUAUUGGGAAGAACACCGGUGGCGAAGGCGGCUCUCUGGACCGAGACUGACGCUGAGGCGCGAAAGCGUGGGGAGCAAACAGGAUUAGAUACCCUGGUAGUCCACGCCGUAAACGAUGUGUGCUAGACGUUGGGGAGCCUAGCUUCUCGGUGUCGCAGCCAACGCAGUAAGCACACCGCCUGGGGAGUACGGCCGCAAGGUUAAAACUCAAAGGAAUUGACGGGGGCCCGCACAAGCGGUGGAGCAUGUGGUUUAAUUCGACGCAACGCGAAGAACCUUACCAGCUCUUGACAUGCCCGGUAUGAUCGCCAGAGAUG
rnacentral:rRNA from 1 species